CAUUUAUCGAGUAUUUACACAAUUCACCUCAUAUUCGAGUAUUGUUAUUUAAAGGAGAUUGCACACACUGGCAACAUCCGGCCAGCCCACUCAUCCCAGCAGUGAUCCUUGUGGAAACUUCCAUACAUUUACCACUGCCCUUCCCACUUGAUCAAUGUCAUUUCUCAAGAUAUUCCCUAAGAGGAUAUUGGGGACCAGCUUUGUGCUCUUAGAGUGAACGUUUUCCACACAGAGAAAGCGGGUGUGCCAGUCGUUAAUGUGUUAUCUCUCAGCUUCGAAAUAACCUUGCGUUGCCCUGCUUGGUGAUGCUGGAGCUGGGCCCUGUAGACAUUUCUCCUUCGCCAGCUGGCUGGCUGUUAGGCUUUGGGAACAGAGGGUGCUGGAGCGCCACUUCAGGGCCAAACAGGAGGAAGGCAUUUCCCUUCCUGUUCCUAGCCCUGGCACCAGCAGGUCAAAGUGGAGAGGGCCUGGAAGUGCUCACCUCAGCAUCCUGCCUGGACCUGCUCCGCUAGCCUGCAAGUUUCCCACUACCCAGGGCCAUUGCUGUGGAUCAGCCCCCAUCUGCAAUCUCUGUCCAGGUUUUCCAGAAAGCAGACCUGAGGCAAGACUCCUGUGCUCGACUUUGUCAGUGAGUGCGACCACAGGAGCCAGAGUAAAGGACAGAGAGAUUCCAGCGGGGAAGGAGAGGAACCGGGGGCAAAGACGCCUUAGCAAGCUGGCUGCCUCCAAGUGCGACUGAGGCUCAGCCCUGCCAAACUGCCCAGACGUGCCUCACGCUCUCCCCUGGCUCCAGGACUCAGAUGCUUUUCUGCACAACUUCUGGAAGCUUUUGAAUCCUUUCACAAACAAAACUCCACACCUCCCUCCGAGCUGACUCAUGAACUUCCUGUCCUAAGGCUGAGAUCCUGAUCAUCGUUUAUCUCUGUACAAGAACUAAGAUUGUAGAUCAAGAAAGGCUGAGCAAUCGCACUCAACCUGGGCUGAAACCCUGAAGGGGAAAUUUCUCCUGUUGGUCAGAGAUAUGAUGAAAAAGAAUGCAGAAGAGAUGAGAUGUGAGAAGGACUUCACCACCAUUGCCGGCUUUGAAGAUGAAGGGGUCCAUGAGCCAAAGAAUGUGGGAUGGCCUCUAGAAGCUGAGAACAACACGAGGCCAACAGCCAGCAAGGAGACUUCAGCACUACAACUGCAUGGAACUAAGUUCUGCCAACAACCUGCCUGCAGCAGGGAGCAUCCUCUCCCCCAGGGCCGUCAGUAAAGAAAGCUGUCCUGGCACCUUGGUUCUAGCCUGGUGGAAAACCGGGAAUUACAGAGAGGUUAAUGGCUGUGUCUAAAAGCACACAGCAUGCCCUCAUCAGGAGCUGGAAAUACAG
rnacentral:lncRNA from 1 species